rnacentral:misc_RNA from 1 species
UUAACUAUUAUAUAGUUCUCAGACAAUACUAAAUUCAGAGUUUAGGGUCCUCUGGCGGGCACUCACCAGCUGAAAGCCGGUGGCCGAAGCGGCACGCCAAAGCAACAAAGGUAAGAUAUUCAAGGGUGGGAGAUCUACCCGUAAGGGCAUGAACUCUGUAAUGAUCCUUCCGCAGGUUCACCUACGGAAA